AAAUUUGAAAUCUGGCGCAAGCCCGAGUUGUAAUUUGUAGAGGAUGCUUCGGGGCAGCGACCGGUCUAAGUUCCUUGGAACAGGACGUCAGAGAGGGUGAGAAUCCCGUAUGUGACCGGCCCGCGCCCUGCACGUAGCUCCUUCGACGAGUCGAGUUGUUUGGGAAUGCAGCUCUAAAUGGGAGGUAAAUUUCUUCUAAAGCUAAAUACCGGCCAGAGACCGAUAGCGCACAAGUAGAGUGAUCGAAAGAUGAAAAGUACUUUGGAAAGAGAGUUAAAAAGCACGUGAAAUUGUUGAAAGGGAAGCGCCUGCAACCAGACUUCGCGGCAGUGUUCCGCCGGUCUUCUGACCGGUUCAUUCUCUGCCGCGAGGCCAUCAUCGUCUGGGCCCGCCGGAUAAGACCUUGGGAAUGUAGCUCACCUCCGGGGGAGUGUUAUAGCCCAGGGUGAUGCGGCGCGGCUCGGGCGAGGUCCGCGCUUCGGCAAGGAUGAUGGCGUAAUGGUUGUCGGCGGCCCGUCUUGAAACACGGACCAAGGAGUCUAACAUCUAUGCGAGUGUUCGGGUGUCAAACCCCUACGCGUAAUGAAAGUGAACGGAGGUGGGAACCGCAAGGUGCACCAUCGACCGAUCCUGAUGUCCUCGGAUGGAUUUGAGUAAGAGCAUAGCUGUUGGGACCCGAAAGAUGGUGAACUAUGCCUGAAUAGGGUGAAGCCAGAGGAAACUCUGG
rnacentral:rRNA from 1 species